rnacentral:rRNA from 1 species
AUUGAACGCUGGCGGCAUGCCUUACACAUGCAAGUCGAACGGUAACAGGUCUUCGGAUGCUGACGAGUGGCGAACGGGUGAGUAAUACAUCGGAACGUGCCUAGUAGUGGGGGAUAACUACUCGAAAGAGUGGCUAAUACCGCAUGAGAUCUACGGAUGAAAGCAGGGGAUCGCAAGACCUUGUGCUAUUGGAGCGGCCGAUGGCAGAUUAGGUAGUUGGUGGGAUAAAAGCUUACCAAGCCGACGAUCUGUAGCAGGUCUGAGAGGACGAUCAGCCACACUGGGACUGAGACACGGCCCAGACUCCUACGGGAGGCAGCAGUGGGGAAUUUUGGACAAUGGGCGCAAGCCUGAUCCAGCAAUGCCGCGUGCAGGAUGAAGGCCUUCGGGUUGUAAACUGCUUUUGUACGGAACGAAAAGCCCUGGGUUAAUACCCUGGGGUCAUGACGGUACCGUAAGAAUAAGCACCGGCUAACUACGUGCCAGCCGCCGCCGUAAGAC